rnacentral:rRNA from 1 species
UAGGGAAUCUUCGGCAAUGGACGAAAGUCUGACCGAGCAACGCCGCGUGAGUGAAGAAGGUUUUCGGAUCGUAAAACUCUGUUGUUAGAGAAGAACAAGGACGUUAGUAACUGAACGUCCCCUGACGGUAUCUAACCAGAAAGCCACGGCUAACUACGUGCCAGCAGCCGCGGUAAUACGUAGGUGGCAAGCGUUGUCCGGAUUUAUUGGGCGUAAAGCGAGAGCAGGCGUUUUCUUAAGUCUGAUGUGAAAGCACCCGGCUCAACCGGGGAGGGUCAUUGGAAACUGGGAGACUUGAGUGCAGAAGAGUAGAGUGGAACUCCAUGUGUAGCGGUGACAUGCGUAGCUAUAUGGAGGAACACCAGUGGCGAAGGCGGCUCUCUGGUCUGUAACUGACGCUGAGGCUCGAAAGCGUGGGGAGCAAACAGG